UACGGAGGGUGCAAGCGUUAUCCGGAUUCAUUGGGCUUAAAGGGCGCGUAGGCGGCCAGGCAAGUCAGUGGUGAAAUCUCCAAGCUUAACUUGGAAACUGCCGUUGAUACUAUCUGUCUUGAAUGUUGUGGAGGUGAGCGGAAUAUGUCAUGUAGCGGUGAAAUGCUUAGAUAUGGCAUAGAACACCAAUUGCGAAGGCAGCUCACUGGACAAUUAUUGACGCUGAGGCGCGAAAGCGUGGGGAGCAAACAGG
rnacentral:rRNA from 1 species